rnacentral:rRNA from 1 species
CAGCAGCCGCGGUAACACGUAGGAUCCGAGCGUUAUCCGGAUUUACUGGGCGUAAAGCGCGUGCAGGUGGUCUGUUAAGUUGGAUGUUAAAUCUCACGGCUUAACCGGGAGAUGUCGUUCAAAACUGGCAGACUAGAGGACGGUAGAGGAAGGUGGAAUUCCGGGUGUAGUGGUGAAAUGCGUAGAUAUCCGGAGGAACAUCAGUGGCGAAGGCGACCUUCUGGACCGCUCCUGACACUCCAACGCGAAAGCUAGGGGAGCAAACGGG